GACGAACGCUGGCGGCGUGCUUAACACAUGCAAGUCGAACGGUAAGGCCCUUCGGGGUACACGAGUGGCGAACGGGUGAGUAACACGUGGGUAAUCUGCCCUGCACAUCGGGAUAAGCCUGGGAAACUGGGUCUAAUACCGAAUAGGACCACAGGACACAUGUCCUGUGGUGGAAAGCUUUUUCGGUGUGGGAUGGGCCCGCGGCCUAUCAGCUUGUUGGUGGGGUGAUGGCCUACCAAGGCGACGACGGGUAGCCGGCCUGAGAGGGUGUCCGGCCACACUGGGACUGAGAUACGGCCCAGACUCCUACGGGAGGCAGCAGUGGGGAAUAUUGCACAAUGGGCGAAAGCCUGAUGCAGCGACGCCGCGUGGGGGAUGACGGCCUUCGGGUUGUAAACCUCUUUCACCAUCGACGAAGGUCCGGGUUUUCUCGGGCUGACGGUAGGUGGAGAAGAAGCACCGGCCAACUACGUG
rnacentral:rRNA from 1 species